GACGAACUCUGGCGGCGUGCUUAACACAUGCAAGUCGAACGGUAAGGCCUUUCGGGGUACACGAGUGGCGAACGGGUGAGUAACACGUGGGUGAUCUGCCCUGCACUUCGGGAUAAGCCCGGGAAACUGGGUCUAAUACCGGAUAGGACUGCGCGGUGCAUGCCGUGUGGUGGAAAGAUUUAUCGGUGCAGGAUGGGCCCGCGGCCUAUCAGCUUGUUGGUGGGGUAAUGGCCUACCAAGGCGACGACGGGUAGCCGGCCUGAGAGGGCGACCGGCCACACUGGGACUGAGACACGGCCCAGACUCCUACGGGAGGCAGCAGUGGGGAAUAUUGCACAAUGGGCGCAAGCCUGAUGCAGCGACGCCGCGUGAGGGAUGACGGCCUUCGGGUUGUAAACCUCUUUCAGCAGGGACGAAGCGUGAGUGACGGUACCUGCAGAAGAAGCACCGGCCAACUACGUG
rnacentral:rRNA from 1 species